AUGGUGGUCAACCUCUUCAGGAUGGCUCCUCCAACGCGCACGACUCCGAAUCCUGAUCCGCCUCCACCUCCGCCUCCUCCGGAAGCAUGGCAAGCUGUGAUGGCCGCUACUAAUGCAAACACACAGUUGAUCAUGCAAAUUCUCCAAGAGCGCAAUCAAGGCAGUCAAGGGAAUCAAGGCCAUAAUCAACACCACUUUGCUACUCUGAACCAGUUCCUCGCAAAUGGCCCAAAGACGUUCAGCGGUUGUGUUGAGGCUACCGAUGCUGACGAUUGGCUAGUGGAUCUGGGCAAGCAUUUUGAAUGCAGCAACGUCAGGCCUGAAGAUUUCGUCAAGUUCGCUUCUUUCCAGCUCAAAGAUCAGGCUGCAGAGUGGUUCCAGCAGUACAAGGAUUCCAGAGGUGGA
rnacentral:rRNA from 1 species